GACGAACGCUGGCGGCGUGCUUAACACAUGCAAGUCGAACGGAAAGGCCCUGCUUUUGUGGGGUGCUCGAGUGGCGAACGGGUGAGUAACACGUGAGUAACCUGCCCUUGACUUUGGGAUAACUUCAGGAAACUGGGGCUAAUACCGGAUAGGAUCUCCUGCUGCAUGGUGGGGGUUGGAAAGUGUCGGCGGUUGGGGAUGGACUCGCGGCUUAUCAGCUUGUUGGUGGGGUAGUGGCUUACCAAGGCUUUGACGGGUAGCCGGCCUGAGAGGGUGACCGGCCACAUUGGGACUGAGAUACGGCCCAGACUCCUACGGGAGGCAGCAGUGGGGAAUAUUGCACAAUGGGCGGAAGCCUGAUGCAGCAACGCCGCGUGCGGGAUGACGGCCUUCGGGUUGUAAACCGCUUUCGCCUGUGACGAAGCGUGCGUGACGGUAAUGGGUAAAGAAGCACCGGCUAACUACGUG
rnacentral:rRNA from 1 species